UGCGGAUGUCAUCCGGUUGAAUGUCGUUGCUGGUGGUUAACCCGCAGUCAACCUGUGCGAAAGACAUGCGGAAUAUCCGUUAAUGUUCAUAAGAGUGGCUAUUUAGCUAGUUCAUUCCGUAAGAAUAGUCAUUAGUUGGUUAAAUACCACCACGGGCUUCUGUUGAAGACGACUGAAGUCCAUCUCUGCUUGGAGUUUUAUCAAAUAUCGGCGGAACAGCGGAAGAAGCCACCAUGUCUCCUUCUCCCAGCAGGAAAGGAGAUAUGUCCUACUAUUCAUCCUCCCGUAGUUCGUCUCGGGCUACCGACUGUAAAGUGUACGUGGGUGACUUGGGCAACGGUGCUGCCAAAGGGGAGCUGGAGCGAGCGUUCAGUUAUUAUGGCCCGCUGAGAACCGUCUGGGUGGCCAGGAACCCGCCUGGGUUUGCCUUUGUGGAGUUUGAGGAUCCCAGAGAUGCAGAAGAUGCUGUGAAAGGAAUGGAUGGAAAGGUCCUUUGUGGUUCCCGUGUUCGUGUGGAAAUGUCAACAGGCAUGUCACGAAAGGGCCGUGGUCGCCCCAGCCGACGCCAGUUUGACCCCAAUGAUCGGUGUUACCAGUGUGGGGACCGGGGCCACUAUGCCUAUGACUGCUACCGCUUCAGCAAGAGAGGAGGCCGUCGCAGCAGGUCUCGCUCGCAUUCUCGUUCUCGCUCCAGGUCCAGGUCCCGAGGUCACCGCUAUCGAUCUCGCUCCCGCAGCCGAAGCCACAGCCGGAGCCGUCGCCGAUCUCCAUCCUAUUCCAGACGCAGGAGCAGGUCUGGCUCCCCAGCUCGUUCAAAGUCCAGGACUCCAGUGAGAAGUCGCUCCAGGUCUAGGUCUCGGUCUGGCUCUGCGCCCAGAAGACGCUCUGCCUCCCGAUCCCGCUCGCGAACUCCGUCAGCCAACCACAAGAGGAACAGCGUGUGGUGGGAGCUGAUCACUGCACUGACACCACAGCUGAUCCCAGGCCCAGGGUCUGCCAGCUGGCGGUGUGUACGUCCUGCGGGAGGGUGACUAAGCGCUGACCUGAGAUCAGCCUUCGCCUGCAUCUGGUGUUAGACAGCGAGAAAGAGGUCGACCUACCGACCGAACCCUCCCCACAGUGAAUGGGUGACCGUCUGUUCAACCGACGCACACGCUCAGACGAGAUCAGCCCAUGCGCACAUAGAGUUGUUCUACUAGAGCCAGCCAGCCAGCCAGCCUUCAGAUCUACCAGAGGGCUGACCCACACAGAUCAGAGUUCAACCACUACCUUUUUAAAUCCAUUACCUACCUACCAGACCCCCUACCUACCAGAGUUCUUCGGCCUCUGUCUUAGCUUCUGAAAGUGAGAGAAAGAGAGCUGACGAGAGAUCAGUCUUCAAGAGCCUCCCAGCGCAGUGUCUCUCCAAGUUGUAGUCAUCCGUCCUUCAGUCCUUUCAUCCUUCGCUUCUCUGUACUUGUUGUUUCUGCCACUGUCUCCAAAGUCGUUCCCGUUCAGCAAGUCCAAACCGAAGUGCUACGCCAGCAGAUGACUGAAUGAAGAAGACUAUUAGUCCCCACCCCCCCUACCGCUCUGCUUAACAGACAGACCCUCAACCCCUGCACCCUGUUGCUUUUACAGUCCUACAGCAGCUGUCUUUUGUCUAGUCCCAGUCUUUUUUUUAAGUUGAAUUUUCUUCCCAGGACUGUAGUCUUCGUGCAUCAGACAUAAAUCAGUUUCCAUUUGAUAGAGAUUGUAUUAAAUGUUGCUGCUGCAGAGGUUAUCUUUGUUCUCAACGUCUUGUAACAAGUGUAAAAAAAAAGCAUACAUUAAAUUGCGGUGGAAAAUUGCAGUUGAUGCUUGAGGGUGAGGACAUUGCAUUGAAAAACUGCUUUUAUUCCUUAAGGUCAAAUUCAGAACCUUUAAAAUAUUAUUCCCUAUUGAGAAUUGGCAAAUUAUUAUUCUUUUCCCUCCAAUUUGAUUUUUGAGUUCAAUUUCUGUUUUCCGCUCAUGGUGGCAUAAGGAAACAGUAGCUGGCCUGCAUGCCUUUAAAUCUGAUGUCACAUUCCUACUGUUUGUUGUUUUGUUUUGUGCUGCACUGCCCUUUUUACGAACCUGAUCAGCUUCACUGUGUGCUGAAUAGAUUUUCCCCGUGUGUUGAUUUGUUCUUGUGACUUCUGAUUUUAAAAUAUACACAGAGCUUCAGUUUGAUUUUGCUGCUCUAACAGUUUUGAUCAGUUCCUUAUGUGGUAAGAUGGUGACAGUUUUAUUUUUGAAUAAACCUCUUCAACAUAC